rnacentral:rRNA from 1 species
AGCAGCCGCGGUAAUUCCAGCUCCAAUAGCGUAUAUUAAAGUUGUUGCAGUUAAAAAGCUCGUAGUUGAAUUUCGGGAUCAAAUUGUCGGUCGUGCCUCGGUACGCACUGGUAUUAUUGGUUCCUACCUUCUGAAGAACCGCGAUGUCAUUAAUUUGGUGUCGUGGGGAAUCAGGGCUGUUACUUUGAAAAAAUUAGAGUGUUUAAAGCAGGCUUACGCUUGAAUACAUUAGCAUGGAAUAAUGAAAUAGGACGUUUGAUUCUAUUUUGUUGGUUUCUAGGAUUGACGUAAUGAUUAAUAGGGAUAGUUGGGGGCAUUAGUAUUCAAUUGUCAGAGGUGAAAUUCUUGGAUUUAUUGAAGACUAACUACUGCGAAAGCAUUUGCCAAGGAUGUUUUCAUUAAUCAAGAACGAAAGUUAGGGGAUCGAAGACGAUCAGAUACCGUCGUAGUCUUAACCAUAAACUAUGCCGACUAGGGAUCGGAUGAUGUUAAUUUUUUAAUGACUCAUUCGGCACCUUAC